UAUAUAUAUAUAUAUAUAUAUAUGGCUUUGUGGGCUACACAGUUUCACUCACGACUACUCAACUUUGCUGUCGUAGUGUGAAAGCCAUAAAUAAGACAAAAACGAAUGAACGUGGCUAUGUCCCAAUAAGACUUUAUUCACAGAUACUGGGGGAGGACAGGAUUUGGCCAGCAGGCCAUAGUUGCUGACCCCUGAUCUAAAAUAAAAACACCUACAAAUCUACAAGGAAAAAAAAAAUGCGCAAAAGACUUGGACGUCCACUUCGUAAAAGAGGCUAUCCACAUGGCCAGUAAACAUGAAAAGGUAUGUUAAUUUUAUUAAUAAUCUUGGAAAAGGCGGAUUUAAAACCCUGUGUGGCACUACUGCCACCCUCUGAAAUGGUUAAAAUGAAAAGCAUGAAAGAGCAAGAUUUGGCAAGAACGUAACAGGAACUUGCCUACACUCCUGUUGGUAUUGCCCUUUGAUAGAACCAUUUUGGAAAGCUGGCACUUAGAGCAAACCUGUGUUUGUACCCUUUUAACAAACCCAAACCUAGCAGACAUGCAUGAAUGUGUCCACUGUGCAUGUAUAUGUCCACCAAGGGACAUGUCCUAGAAUUUUCAUGACCUAAAACUUCAAAAAACAACUCUGAAGGCACCUAUGCAGUAGAACUUUGAACGUCAGUGGUGUGUUUCCACCACAGAACACUCUAAGGCAAGGAGAAUGGGUAGUAAGCACAGGCAAUAGCAGCUCAAUUUCAUAAAGAAUGUUAAAUGAAGGAAUCUAGACACAAAAGCAAACAGGUAAAGUACAAGAACAGGUAAAACUUGGCUAUGCAGUUAGAAAUCAGGAUAGCGGUUAGCCUUGGCCAAGGCUGACAAGGAGCAUUCAUCUGGUGCUGGUAAUAAUUGGUUUCUAAAUCUAGGUGCUGAAUAUCUGAGUGUUCUGUGCACUCAAGCUUUGUGUGUUUUUCUGCAUGUAUAUUACACUUACAUAAAAUGUUGUUAAAAAUCACAAGUGUCUACCAUUUUUGUCGCUCAGCACUCUUGCCAUAUUUUUCUAGAUGUAUAUGAGUAUGCUGCAUAACAGGAAUUAACUGGUAGAUUUUGCAUAAUUUUUGUGCAGGAAAUACUCUUAGCUUUAAUGGCAACUACGAAGAUUUCCUACACUGACCGUAAAGCUUAGUAUAAAGUAUAUUUUCAGUAAAUAUUUGAAAAGGUGACAGGGCCAUUACAUAUGUUGUCAUCCUACCGUUCUGCAUAUAUAAAUGCAUCUGACACAUAUAAAUAGGUCUGGACUGCCUCUUCAAUAAAGAACUGAUGUGUGUAAACCUUUCAUAUUUUCUCAGGCGAAUUGUUUUUUACAUUCCUGAAUUUGGGAUGCAUCUUAACCAUCACACUGUCACAGAGCUACCCAAGCUGGAGGAAACAGCGCUGCGGGCAACCGCAAGGCACAUCACUCACUUCCGCUGUCCUCCCGCGGUGUGAGGUGGCUGCCACGGCAGCGCAGCCCCGGAGCCUGGGAGGCAGGCCUGUGGCUCUGUGAGGAGCAUCCCGGGCUACAGGCGGGGCGACCUGGAGCCUCCCCAACCCCAAAUAACACCCACCCAAGACCCACUUCUUGUCCCUUCCCAGGCUCAGGAGCAGGGGCUGGGGGUGGGCAGGGGACAGACGUGUACCCUCACCAGACCCCACCCCCAGCUCCAUUUAGUAAUAAAUUCUUUCUUACAGCCAGCUAUGGAGGUUCCUUUUCGGGCCAGUCUCCAAUGUGUAGCUGUCUAAAACAACUUCUUUACUUUUACCUAAUCCCUUUUGGAAUUUCCUGUGGCAGGAACUGGGCUCUGUUGCAUGAGGCUUACCAGAGAAGAGUGGCUCACAUUUGAUUCUCAAAUACAUUUUGUUGUGGAGAAUGGAGGUCACAUAGCUGCGUCCCCUGGGUGCUGUCUGGAGGGACACGCUCCCUGAUGCUCCAGCCCCAGGCUCACCUUGAAAGUCGCCUAAAAUGAUGAUCAUAUGGGACUGUUUAAAAAUGCUGAGUCCUUAUAAGUGUCCUAAUGCUGAAAAUUGAAGAUAACACACAUAGAUGGGUGUUGGGCAGCACAAAUAUUGAAUAAUAUCCCCCAAAUCGAGAAGAAACUUUAAGACCGAAAACAAAGCAGGCAACCCCAUAACGCACAAUUAGGAAGUGCGUUGUGGGUAACUUACGUACAGGCAGACGAGUAUCCGGAGGCAUUUAUUUGCAGCUAAACUCUGUGCUGCUGAAAGGGGUACAGGGGGAUUUACAGGGGCCAAAGCUAAAAUUAGAAUCUGACAACCAGGGGAGAUGCUCGGCGGCCCUGACGGGAAAUGGGGUUUUCCCCCCCUUAGGGGUCUCAUGACCAUUAACCAUCUGUGCCAUCAGAAGGCAUUCUUCCAGUUUUCAUAUCGGAUGAAGACAAGGGUACAUAUGGAGCUUACCUGGCGGGGGUGCAUUCCUUGCGAGUGGGCUAAAGCUCAGGCCAGGGACGGGGGGCGAGGGGGACUGCGGGCCCGAGAUGGAGCUGACAACGUGGGGUCAGUGUGGUUCUGAUGCACAGUGGGUCAUCACGAAGGAGGACACUUGCUAAAAUUAAGUUUUGAGGUUAAAGAAAUGACAGAUUCCUUGUCAGCUCUGUUCUGUGUUCUGGGGUCCGAUGUUGGGCGCAGGCCGUGGGGCCGCCUGGGCCCUAUGGCAGCACAGGCAUGUCCAGCUGUGCUGCGGCUCUGAGGGUCCCAACCAUUGUCUGGAGAGGUCCCUACUCCAUCCAAGCCAGAGGAGAUGGCCCACCGUGACAUCUGUCUUCAGGUGGUGGGGCAGGAUGGGUGUAUGGGCAUCAAGAAAAGGGGCAGGGGGCAGAGCUGGAGGCCAGAGAGGGAGGACGUGCAGACAGCCGGGCUGGCAUAAAAAGGCAAGAUGGGUGGGCGUGACUGGUAAUUAUAAACUGGCUCACGAGGGUAGGGGUGCAGCUGGUGGGGGUGUGGGUGCACCAGGGGCCUGGAGUGAGCAUGCGUAACAAAGAUAUUGGGCAGCAAGAAAUGGGGCCCAAAUGGUGCAGGGAAGCUUCCAGAAGGUGUGAUGGUUGCCCUGCCCCCGUCUUCAAAACACAGCGUGACUCAGGUUGUCUCUGGGACCCCAGGCUGACAGAACCAUCCAAUCAAAUGGCAGAUCCUUCUGCCGGCAGAAUGCCCAGCCAGUAACCGCAGGUCCUGGUAUUGGGACCCUUUAUAUCUUUGGGGCAUGUGCCCCAAAUCUCCAGACAGACGAGGGGGUCCAGCGGCUGGUCCAUCCUCUGUGCCUGGACUUUGUGCUACUCCACUGCCCGCAGCGCCUGUCUCUGUCCUCGCCUCAGCCCGUCAGGAAAGGAAUAAAGUGAGACAUCAUUCCAGAGUCAAGAAGAAGAUAUGAAAAUUCUGUGCCAAUACAUUUGAUAAAAUGCACAGCUUUCUGGAAAAUACAACUUACUGAAACUUCUGGCUUUAAUCUGCUGCAAGACUCAGAUUUGCUGACAAGUGCACCUCAGAAGCUUCAUUUGUGGUUGGAGGCACCAGCCCUGAGGACCUCAUCCAGCGUGGAGCCUGGGGGAAGGAAUCCACAAGCCACUCCCCACAGAGGCCAGGCCACGGGUGUCCCUCCAGAGGGAGAAGCAGAGGACACGGGUUCGAGCCCUGGUCCGGGAAGAUCCCACAUGCCGCGGAGCAACUAAGCCUGUGCACCACAACUACUGAGCCUGUGUGCCAUAACUACUCAGCCCGUGUGCCACAACUACUGAAGCCCGCGCGCCUAGAUCCCGUGCUCCGCAACAAGAGAAGCCACCGCAAUGAGAAGCCCAUGCACUGCAAUGAAGAGUAGCCCCCGCUCGCCGCAACUGGAGAAAGCCCGCGCGCAGCAACGAAGACCCAAAGCAGCCAAAAAAAGGGAUUUUCACGCCUCUGAGGAAGUACAGAAGGUCUCUCCACCCUCUUUGCCCCCUGCUCACCUGGACUCACAGUAUUUGUGAGUUUGGAGGAGGCGCUGAGUACGCUGAGCAGACCCCACCCGGUCUCUCCGGGGCAACCUGUCCUUAGGUCCUUCUUUCCUUCACAGAAGACACCUGUGGCUUUCCAGUUCACCAGUGGCUGGCAGGUGCAAAGUAUUGGGCAACCCACAUGGCCCCAGAUCUAGAUCACUCCUCCAAUUCAGAGUUAUUCUUAAUAAAGCUGAUAUUUUCA